rnacentral:ncRNA from 1 species
GGCCGGGUAGUGGGUAACGAUACAAUACCGGUGAAAGCCGGAAAAGUUACCAGCCGUCUUUGUGCGGUGUUGAAGUACCUGGCUGCCUUCUC